rnacentral:rRNA from 1 species
UACGUAGGGUGCGAGCGUUGUCCGGCAUUAUUGGGCGUAAAGAGCUCGUAGGCGGCUUGUCGCGUCGGAUGUGAAAGCCCGGGGCUUAACUCCGGGUCUGCAUUCGAUACGGGCAGGCUAGAGUUCGGUAGGGGAGAUCGGAAUUCCUGGUGUAGCGGUGAAAUGCGCAGAUAUCAGGAGGAACACCGGUGGCGAAGGCGGAUCUCUGGGCCGAUACUGACGCUGAGGAGCGAAAGCGUGGGGAGCGAACAGG